AUUGAACGCUGGCGGCAGGCCUAACACAUGCAAGUCGGACGGUAGCACAGAGGAGCUUGCUCCUUGGGUGACGAGUGGCGGACGGGUGAGUAAUGUCUGGGGAUCUGCCCGAUAGAGGGGGAUAACCCCUGGAAACGGUGGCAAAUACCGCAUAACGUCGCAAGACCAAAGAGGGGGACCUUCGGGCCUCCCACUAUCGGAUGAACCCGGAUGGGAUUAGCUGGUAGGCGGGGUAAUGGCCCACCUAGGCGACGAUCCCUAGCUGGUCUGAGAGGAUGACCAGCCACACUGGAACUGAGACACGGUCCAGACUCCUACGGGAGGCAGCAGUGGGGAAUAUUGCACAAUGGGCGCAAGCCUGAUGCAGCCAUGCCGCGUGUAUGAAGAAGGCCUUCGGGUUGUAAAGUACUUUCAGCGGGGAGGAAGGCGGUGAGGUUAAUAACCUCACCGAUUGACGUUACCCGCAGAAGAAGCACCGGCUAACUCCGUGCCAGCAGCCGCGGUAA
rnacentral:rRNA from 1 species